rnacentral:rRNA from 1 species
GAGAUUGAGAGUUUGAUCCUGGCUCAGGACGAACGCUGGCGGCGUGCCUAACACAUGCAAGUCGAACGGAGCGAUAUUUGACACGGAUUUUUCAUUAUAGAAUGAGGAAUGCGUGUUGAAUAUUGCUUAGUGGCGGACGGGUGAGUAACGCGUGAGCAACCUGCCUUUCAGAGGGGGAUAACACAGGGAAACCUGUGCUAAUACCGCAUAACAUUACUUUGUGGCAUCACAGAGUAAUCAAAGGAGAAAUCCGCUGAGAGAUGGGCUCGCGUCUGAUUAGAUAGUUGGUGAGGUAAUGGCUCACCAAGUCUACGAUCAGUAGCCGGACUGAGAGGUCGAACGGCCACAUUGGGACUGAGAUACGGCCCAGACUCCUACGGGAGGCAGCAGUGGGGAAUAUUGGGCAAUGGGGGAAACCCUGACCCAGCAACGCCGCGUGAAGGAAGAAGGUCUUCGGAUUGUAAACUUUUGUCUUCUGAGAAGAAAAAAAUGACGGUAUCAGAAGAGGAAGCCACGGCUAACUACGUGCCAGCAGCCGCGGUAAUACGUAGGUGGCGAGCGUUGUCCGGAAUUACUGGGUGUAAAGGGUGCGUAGGCGGGAAGUAAAGUCAGAUGUGAAAUACCUAGGCUUAACCUUGGGGGUGCAUUUGAAACUUACAUUCUUGAGUGAAGUAGAGGCAAGCGGAAUUCCCAGUGUAGCGGUAAAAUGCGUAGAUAUUGGGAGGAACACCAGUGGCGAAGGCGGCUUGCUGGGCUUUAACUGACGCUGAGGCACGAAAGCAUGGGGAGCAAACAGGAUUAGAUACCCUGGUAGUCCAUGCUGUAAACGAUGGAUACUAGGUGUGGGGGGGUACUGACCCCCCCCCGUGCCGGAGUUAACACAAUAAGUAUCCCACCUGGGGAGUACGGUCGCAAGACUAAAACUCAAAGGAAUUGACGGGGGCCCGCACAAGCAGUGGAGUAUGUGGUUUAAUUCGAAGCAACGCGAAGAACCUUACCAGGUCUUGACAUCCUACUAACGAGGCAGAGAUGCGUUAGGUACCUUUCGGGGGAAGUAGAGACAGGUGGUGCAUGGUUGUCGUCAGCUCGUGUCGUGAGAUGUUGGGUUAAGUCCCGCAACGAGCGCAACCCUUACGGUUAGUUGAUACGCAAGAUCACUCUAGCCGGACUGCCGUUGACAAAACGGAGGAAGGUGGGGACGACGUCAAAUCAUCAUGCCCCUUAUGACCUGGGCUACACACGUACUACGAUGGCGCUUAACAAAGGGGAGCAAAAUAGUGAUAUGGAGCAAAUCCCAAAAAAGCGUCUCAGUUCAGAUUGCAGGCUGAAACUCGCCUGCAUGAAGUCGGAAUUGCUAGUAAUCGCGAAUCAUCAUGUCGCGGUGAAUACGUUCCCGGGCCUUGUACACACCGCCCGUCAAACCAUGAGAGUUGGGAACACCCGAAGUCCGUAGUCUAACCGCAGCGAAUUUAUUCGCCGGAGGACACGGCCGAAGGUGGGCCUGAUGAUUAGGGUUAAGUCGUAACAAGGUAGCCGUA